rnacentral:rRNA from 1 species
GACGAACGCUGGCGGCGUGCUUAACACAUGCAAGUCGAACGGUGAAGCGCCUUCCUUUUUGGUGGGUGUGGAUGAGUGGCGAACGGGUGAGUAACACGUGAGUAACCUGCCCCCUUCUUCUGGAUAACCGCAUGAAAGUGUGGCUAAUACGGGAUAUUCUGGGUCUGUCGCAUGAUGGGUCUGGGAAAGAUAUUGUUUCGGUGGGGGAUGGGCUCGCGGCCUAUCAGCUUGUUGGUGGGGUGAUGGCCUACCAAGGCGGUGACGGGUAGCCGGCCUGAGAGGGUGGCCGGUCAGACUGGGACUGGGACCCGGCCGGGACUCCUACGGGAGGCAGCAGUGGGGAAUAGUGCACAAUGGGCGAAAGCGUGAUGCAGCGACGCCGCGGGAGGGAUGGAGGCCUUCGGGUUGUGAACCUCUUUCGCCAGUGAAGCAGGCCUGCCUCGUUUGUGGGUGGGUUGACGGUAGCUGGAUAAGAAGCGCCGGCUAACUACGUG